rnacentral:rRNA from 1 species
UACAGAGGUCCCGAGCGUUGUUCGGAUUCACUGGCCGUAAAGGGUGCGUAGGUGGUGAGGUAAGUCGGAUGUGAAAUCUCCGGGCUCAACCCGGAAAUGGCAUUGGAAACUACCUUGCUGGAGGAUUUGAGGGGGGAUUGGAAUACUUGGUGUAGCAGUGAAAUGCGUAGAUAUCAAGUGGAACACCAGUGGCGAAGGCGAAUCCCUGGAAAAUACCUGACACUGAGGCACGAAAGCUAGGGGAGCAAACAGG